rnacentral:rRNA from 1 species
AUUGAACGCUGGCGGCAUGCCUUACACAUGCAAGUCGAACGGUAACAGGUUAAGCUGCCGCGUGGCGAACGGGUGAGUCAUGUAUCGGAACGUGCCCAGUCGUGGGGUAUAACUGCUCGAAAGAGCAGCUAAUACCGCAUACGACCUGAGGGUGAAAGCGGGGGAUCGCAAGACCUCGCGCGAUUGGAGCGGCCGAUAUCAGAUUAGGUAGUUGGUGAGGUAAAGGCUCAGCAAGCCGACGAUCUGUAGCUGGUCUGAGAGGACGACCAGCCACACUGGGACUGAGACACGGCCCAGACUCCUACGGGAGGCAGCAGUGGGGAAUGUUGGACAAUGGGCGCAAGCCUGAUCCAGCCAUGCCGCGUGCGGGAAGAAGGCCUUCGGGUUGUAAACCGCUUUUGUCAGGGAAGAAAAGGUUCUGGCUAAUACCUGGGACUCAUGACGGUACCUGAAGAAUAAGCACCGGCUAACUACGUG